AGGCUAGUAUGUACUUAAAUUACAACAUAUCACUAUUGUUUGUGCAUAUGCCUGCAACCGUUGAGCUAUCCUUGCUAUGCCUUCACCUAUCUACCACUCCACUUCCUUAAUCCUUCCUGCAACCGAUCAACCUUUUCGGCUGUUCUAACAUCUCCCUUCCCUCUGUUUAUCAAACAUCAACUUCAGAACAUAACUGUGUUUUAUAAUUUUAAGCUACUAGAGGUUGCUAAUAUGCGGUACGGGUAUCAGUAUUGCACCAGCAGCCUGACUUCUUUCAAAGAAAGGCGAGACAACAAAAAUUCGUAUAAGCUUUCGAUUUUGAAAGACGCGCCAAGAAUCGCUGCAGUGAAGAUUUUUAAACAGGAGCGUGUUCUACAGACUGAGUCAAAGGUCCGAGUUUUAACCGCGGACAACUCGCCUAACGAUAUACAGGCCAUGUGGAUGUGAAAAUGAAGAUGUCCUCAUUACUUGAUUGCCCAUGUGAUUAUGCAGGUGGUGCAGCAGAACCAAUUCCCCCAAUAGCUCAUGGUGGAUUUUACCAAAAUCAAAAAAAUUCCUGACUUCUACAUUAAGUCGCACUACUUCCGACAUUGAGCCUCCACUCUCGAUGCUCCCAUUUGAGGUUCCUGUCCUCACAGCGAACACCUCAGAGCAACUCCAAUGCAAUGCUAUACUUGGUUCUAUUGCUAUAUUAUAGCAUCAAAAGUAAAAAAACUCAACUCCAAAGGGGUGCUAUAUUUGGAUGCAUCCAUGCAUGGAUGCAUCCUUGGUUCUAUAUUUGAAACCAAGGAUGGAUCCAUCCAUAUUGCCACAUCAACUCCAAAGGAAGAAUUUGUUGAGAUAUUUAAUAAAAUUUAUAAAAGGUAGGUAAAAGUUAAUGAGUUGGUUAAAUUUGAAACUAGUUAUAGAACUUAGCAUUGGAGUGCAAGUUUUAUUUUAGCACCAAAAACCACUUUUUGGUGCUAUAUUAUAGCAAUAGCAAUAGAUAUAUAGCAUCUAGCAUUGGAGUUGCUCUCACAGCCAAAUGACCAAGGGCAUGGAAGCUACUUAGAUUUAGUUUUGCAGCUAUAGCAGGAGGGGUGGACGACAUUUGGAUUGUGAGUGUGCUGAUCUUUUGUAUCUUUGAAUACUUUUCCCAAUUAUGCAAUUACUUUCUUAACUAGGUCUUGAGCCAGGUUACAUUGACACAACUGGCUGACAUGGUGUUUUCUCACGAAGUAAAGAAUGUAAGCGGAUAAAUUUAAACACCUGAGUUGGCCACCCUAAAGCCAUUUAAGAGGGACCAUGAGCAUUGGUUCAUUACUGGCGUUGAAGGAGGCUUAUAGCAAAGAUGUCGAGGUGUUUAACUCAUGAAAAGAUUUGCACCAGAUGCAGCAAUAGAAAGCACACUCUGGCAACUCGAGAAUAUGCAUAAAUGAUUUUAGAGAGAGACAUAAUAUAUAGGCAAGAGUUAAUGGGUCUCCAAUCCUAACUGAUUUUAGAGUUAAUAUUAUUAUUAAAUUUGAAAUCCUAAUUGUUGUAUAAUUAAGUCUCACUUAAUCAUUCAAUAACUUAAUUUCGGAUUCAAUAUGUAAUUCAAAUUUCCUAUUUAUUUAAUUAAUUAUGUCACACUUAAUUAAUAACAAAUAAUUUAAAUUACUUACAUUUAAUUUAAAUCUGAAUUUAAAUUAAAUAAUCCUCCAAUCAUUCUUUGUGCGACCCUUUAGAUUAUAUUACGUUGGCAACAAUUUUAAAUUAAAAUUGUAAACAAUGAGUGACAUCUAAUAAUACAUCAUUGCUACCCAAGUAAUAAUAAUUAAAUCGGUAAUCGAUUAAACCUUUUGUAAAUAAUGUACAAUGUACUAUAAUCUUUUUAACCAUAUAUUAUAGAUUAAACUUGAGGCAUGUAAUGUGUCAUCCUCUUCAUAAUUUAAUUUAGGUUUCCUUGAUCGAUGAGUAGACUAUAACAUCAUAUAUUAUAGAUUAAACUCGAGGCAUGUAAUGUGUCAUACUCUUCAUAAUUUAGUUUAGGUUUCCUUGAUCGAUGAGUAGACUAUAAUAUCAAAUCAACAUUUGAGCAUGGUCAUGCAUUUCAUAGUCUAACCCAAACAAGAGGCCAAUAAUAUCACUCCUAAAAGAGGAGGGUUAAAUCAUUUCUAGAUCAUUCAUAUUUCUCAUAUGAUUCAUAAUAUACUCACCCGGUCAAAGGUAACUUUUAGUGUAACCAAAGUAUAUUAAUUCUCACAUA